rnacentral:lncRNA from 1 species
GAUCAAGGCUCAAGUAAUUGGAGAAGAGAAGAGAGUCCCAACUGUAUUGAGCAAAAAGUGUAGCACUCUUUUUGAUUUGGUCAUAGCCCAUCCUACUUUUUCCAUGUACUCAUGAAGUAACAUGAUUAGCUUCUCCUCUUUCAAAUGAGGUGUGCCUCUAGCCCUUAUGUUUGCAUUUUUGAGCACUUCCAACUUCAAUUGAUAUUUCUCCAUGGAUGGCUGCAAUUUGGCAUUAAGUUCAGGCAAAACAAAUUCUACCUUAUCUGGAGGUUUGGGCAGGCAUUGAUCUGC